GGGAGUGACUGGCUUCGACAGGAGCAGGCUGGUCUUGAUUGCAUGCCACUCUGAAUAAAGUGUAAAACUGUUCAAAUAAAAUUAGACGCAAAUAAUAAAAAUUUCGCUCCAGCUUACGCAAAAGUAGCGUAAGUCUAACUUAAUUGGAGGCUUUGCACCACCCAUGCUAUCCUAAGUGGAUUUUGUAAGGCUCAUAUCUCAGAUAGCUUAGAUACAAGAGAUGACCGAAAUUGUAUUGAAAUUUAGGUUUGCGUUUUUAUGUAGUUUUCGCGGAUUGAGUGAAGUAAAAACAAAGUUUUAAAUCAAUCCUUCUAAGCAUGUAGAGGUCAGGGUGGGUCUGUUUUUGGACAGGGGUUCAAUUCCCCUCACUUCCACCA
rnacentral:tmRNA from 1 species